GAAGAUGCAAGCGAUUUGGGACCUUGAACAAGGCAAAUAUGGUUUUGUGUCUUUUGGCCAUUUGUACCGGGAGACUGACUCGGAGUCCCGGUAUCGGAAAAGCAC